GAUGAACGCUGGCGGCGUGCCUAAUACAUGCAAGUCGAGCGAACGGACGAGAAGCUUGCUUCUCUGAUGUUAGCGGCGGACGGGUGAGUAACACGUGGAUAACCUACCUAUAAGACUGGGAUAACUUCGGGAAACCGGAGCUAAUACCGGAUGAUAUUUUGAACCGCAUGGUUCAAAAGUGAAAGACGGUCUUGCUGUCACUUAUAGAUGGAUCCGCGCUGCAUUAGCUAGUUGGUAAGGUAAUGGCUUACCAAGGCAACGAUGCAUAGCCGACCUGAGAGGGUGAUCGGCCACACUGGAACUGAGACACGGUCUAGACUCCUACGGGAGGCAGCAGUAGGGAAUCUUCCGCAAUGGGCGAAAGCCUGACGGAGCAACGCCGCGUGAGUGAUGAAGGUCUUCGGAUCGUAAAACUCUGUUAUUAGGGAAGAACAUAUGUGUAAGUAACUGUGCACAUCUUGACGGUACCUAAUCAGAAAGCCACGGCUAACUACGUG
rnacentral:rRNA from 1 species